AAUAGAUACCCUGGUAGUCCACGCCGUAAACGAUGAGUGCUAAGUGUUAGAGGGUUUCCGCCCUUUAGUGCUGCAGCUAACGCAUUAAGCACUCCGCCUGGGGAGUACGGCCGCAAGGCUGAAACUCAAAGGAAUUGACGGGGGCCCGCACAAGCGGUGGAGCAUGUGGUUUAAUUCGAAGCAACGCGAAGAACCUUACCAGGUCUUGACAUCCUCUGCCAACCCUAGAGAUAGGGCGUUCCCCUUCGGGGGACAGAGUGGCAGGUGGUGCAUGGUUGUCGUCAGCUCGUGUCGUGAGAUGUUGGGUUAAGUCCCGCAACGAGCGCAACCCUUGAUCUUAGUUGCCAGCAUUCAGUUGGGCACUCUAAGGUGACUGCCGGUGACAAACCGGAGGAAGGUGGGGAUGACGUCAAAUCAUCAUGCCCCUUAUGACCUGGGCUACACACGUGCUACAAUGGAUGGUACAAAGAGUUGCGAACCCGCGAGGGUAAGCCAAUCUCAUAAAGCCAUUCUCAGUUCGGA
rnacentral:rRNA from 1 species